rnacentral:tRNA from 1 species
AGAGCCCUAGUAAAUCAUUAUAUCGUUUUGUCAUGACGAAGUAGUAAGUUUAAAUCUUACGAGUUCUA